rnacentral:SRP_RNA from 1 species
AAAUGGGCUAGACUGGAGGGUUAGGGGUCCUCUGUAAGCGCAUAUCCCCUAUACGGCGCGGUUGAAGUUCAAGAGGCGGCAGGUUAACUGGGAAUUGGCCCAGGAUUUCGAUGUCGAAACCUCGUCCCGCAGGAUUAGUGGUGGAAGGGCUUCGGCUGUAGGGCCGGGGUUAACUACCUUAACCACAGGAACGGAUCAGGUCUGGAAAGAAGCAGUUCUACUGUGGACAGCUGAUGCUUGUGGAGCAACGGGGUGGAGUCGGGUUUCUGGAUCACCAGUUUUCAGGAGGCCUGUCCACUCUUGAACACGCCCACUU